rnacentral:rRNA from 1 species
GAUGAACGCUAGCGGCAGGCUUAAUACAUGCAAGUCGAGGGGUAGCAAGAUUGUAGCAAUUCAAUUGUUGACGACCGGCAAACGGGUGCGGAACACGUACACAACCUUCCUACAAGUGGGGAAUAGCCCAGAGAAAUUUGGAUUAAUACCCCGUAACAUAGCGAUGUGGCAUCACAUUGCUAUUAUAGCUUCGGCGCUUGUUGAUGGGUGUGCGGCUGAUUAGAUAGUUGGCGGGGUAACGGCCCACCAAGUCUACGAUCAGUAGCUGAUGUGAGAGCAUGAUCAGCCACACGGGCACUGAGACACGGGCCCGACUCCUACGGGAGGCAGCAGUAAGGAAUAUUGGACAAUGGACGCAAGUCUGAUCCAGCCAUGCCGCGUGAAGGAUUAAGGUCCUCUGGAUUGUAAACUUCUUUUAUAAGGGACGAAAAAAGGUCUUUCUAGAUCGUCUGACGGUACCUUAUGAAUAAGCACCGGCUAACUCCGUGCCAGCCGCCGCAGUAACAC